rnacentral:lncRNA from 1 species
UUUAAGGGCUGAUUUGAUGGAUCUUAAGGGGCUAACCAAAGAUUUGGAUUGCGGAUCAAGUCCAAGGGAUGAGAGCAUAUGAGACAUAAGCUCAAUGAGUGCUUUCAUGUAUUUGAUUAGUCUAGAGAGUUUUUUGGGCUCGGAUCAUUGAACCCAUUGUAUUGGUAUAUAUACAGGUCAUUGUAAUACUAAUGUAGAUAGAAUAAAAUAUAGAGCUUUUUCUCUUGAAAUUUGAGCUGCCAUCUCUCUCUUUCUUUCUCUCUCUCACACUCUCAUCCACAAUCCAAUCAAGGCUUCCACA